AGAAUCAACGCUGGCGGCGUGCCUAACACAUGCAAGUCGAACGAGAAAGUGGAGCAAUCCAUGAGUAAAGUGGCGACCGGGUGAGUAACACGUGACCAAUCUACCUUCGAGUGGGGGAUAACUCCGGGAAACCGGGGCUAAUACCGCAUAACAUCUUUGGAAUGCAAAUUCCGUUGAUCAAAGGAGCAAUUCGCUUGAAGAGGAGGUCGCGGCUGAUUAGCUAGUUGGCGGGGUAAUGGCCCACCAAGGCGAAGAUCGGUA
rnacentral:rRNA from 1 species